UACUUCGUGCCAAAAGCUAAUCAAGGAAUAAUUGGACCAACCAUCUUUGCUCAAGCAUUGGGUUACAAAUGUUACGAUUGACUCCGCGCUGAACAUCCGAUCGAUGCUUAAGCUGAUGGCCUCUGUCUUCAAUCGAAACACUAGCGAAGAAAGGGCAGGAGGAGCUGGUUGCGAAAAUUAUUUUGAGAAAGGGGGAUGAG
rnacentral:lncRNA from 1 species